AUGUUGAAACUGUCGCGGUUUAGGGACGGAUGCGACAGUCGGCGACCUGCGUUGGCUCGUGAACAAACACCGUCCCUCCCUCCUCUUCUUAUCCGAGACGAAGAUGAGGGACUCCAGAGCUCGGAAGUUCAUGUGGUCAUGGGAUACACAGGCUCUUUUGCGGUAAGCAGUGAUGGCUUGAGCGGAGGGCUUGUUCUCUUUUGGGACUCCUCUCUUUCAGUCUCCUUGAAAGCCUACUCCACAAAAAUUAUUGACAUCAUGAUCAAAUCAGAUGAUGGUUUAGAAUGGAGAACUACCUUUGUGUAUGGGGAGCCGAAAAGAGAACUAAGACAUAUUUUCUGGGAUAGGCUCCGGUUCUUGAAAACAACUUGGUCAGGACCAUGGAUCUGUGUUGGUGAUUUCAAUGAAACUUUAAGUACAGAUGAGCACAUGGGGAUAAGGAACAGAGAUGAUAACCAGAUGAUGUUAUUCCGGGAAUGCCUUGACGAUUGCGGCCUCAUAGAUUUGGGAUACUUUGGUCCAAAAUUUACAUGGUCUAAUAGACAAGAAGGUGGACACAAUGUCAGAGUGAGAUUGGAUAGGGCUGUCGCAAAUGGGUACUUCAUGCAGAUUUUUGACGACUGCACUGUCGAGAACAUUAUCACCACCUCUUCAGACCAUUAUGCAAUAUUGGUGAAAAUAGCAAAAAGUGAAGGCAAGGAACUCACCAUCCCAGUCCAACAGACUUUCAAGUUUGAAGCAGCGUGGAUGAGAGCUCCUGAUUAUGACCAACUGAUUGAGGACAACUAG
rnacentral:rRNA from 1 species